UACGUAGGGGGCAAGCGUUGUCCGGAUUUAUUGGGCGUAAAGAGCGUGUAGGCGGCCUGAAAGGUCAGCUGUGAAAACUCGAGGCUUAACCUCGAGCUGUCGGCGGAAACCAUCUGGCUAGAGUCCGGAAGAGGAGAAUGGAAUUCCCGGUGUAGCGGUGAAAUGCGCAGAUAUCGGGAAGAACACCCGUGGCGAAGGCGGUUCUCUGGGACGGUACUGACGCUGAGACGCGAAAGCGUGGGGAGCGAACAGG
rnacentral:rRNA from 1 species